GACGAACGCUGGCGGCGUGCUUAAUACAUGCAAGUAGAACGCUGAAGGAGGAGCUUGCUUCUCUGGAUGAGUUGCGAACGGGUGAGUAACGCGUAGGUAACCUGCCUGGUAGUGGGGGAUAACUUUUGGAAACGAUAGCUAAUACCGCAUAAUAGUAGAUGUUGCAUGACAUUUGUUUAAAAGGUGCAAUUGCAUCACUAGCAGAUGGACCUGCGUUGUAUUAGGUAGUUGGUGAGGUAACGGCUCACCAAGGCAACGAUACAUAGCCGACCUGAGAGGGGGGUCAGCCGCACUGAGACGGUGACACGGCCCAGACGCCUUCGGGAGCGAGCAGUAGGGAAACUUCGGCAAUCGACGGAAGUCUUACCGAGCAACGCCGCGUGAGUGAAGAAGGUUGUCGGAUCGUAAAGCACUGUUGUAAGAGAAGAACCAGUGUUAGAGUGUAAAGUUCACACUGUGACGGUAACUGACCAGAAAGGGACGGCUAACUACGUG
rnacentral:rRNA from 1 species